UACGAAGGGGGCUAGCGUUGCUCGGAAUUACUGGGCGUAAAGGGCGCGUAGGCGGACAUUUAAGACGGGGGUGAAAGCCCAGGGCUCAACCCUGGAAUAGCCUUCGAUACUGGAUGUCUUGAGUUCGGGAGAGGUGAGUGGAAUGCCGAGUGUAGAGGUGAAAUUCGUAGAUAUUCGGCGGAACACCAGUGGCGAAGGCGACUCACUGGCCCGAUACUGACGCUGAGGCGCGAAAGCGUGGGGAGCAAACAGG
rnacentral:rRNA from 1 species